AUUGAACGCUGGCGGCAUGCUUUACACAUGCAAGUCGAACGGCAGCACGGGCUUCGGCCUGGUGGCGAGUGGCGAACGGGUGAGUACUAUAUCGGAACGUACCCAGAAGUGGGGGAUAACGUAGCGAAAGUUACGCUAAUACCGCAUACGAUCUAUGGAUGAAAGCAGGGGACCGCAAGGCCUUGUGCUCCUGGAGCGGCCGAUAUCUGAUUAGCUAGUUGGUGAGGUAAAGGCUCACCAAGGCGACGAUCAGUAGCUGGUCUGAGAGGACGACCAGCCACACUGGAACUGAGACACGGUCCAGACUCCUACGGGAGGCAGCAGUGGGGAAUUUUGGACAAUGGGCGCAAGCCUGAUCCAGCAAUGCCGCGUGAGUGAAGAAGGCCUUCGGGUUGUAAAGCUCUUUUGUCAGGGAAGAAACGGUAGAGGCUAAUAUCCUUUGCUAAUGACGGUACCUGAAGAAUAAGCACCGGCUAACUACGU
rnacentral:rRNA from 1 species